GACGAACCGAGCGAACGUUGUUCGGAAUCACUGGGCUUAAAGGGCGCGUAGGCGGGUGCUCAAGUCCGUGGUGAAAUCCUCCGGCUCAACCGGAGAACUGCCUCGGAUACUGGGUGCCUCGAGGGUGGUAGGGGUAUGCGGAACUAUCGGUGGAGCGGUGAAAUGCGUAGAUAUCUGGAGGAACACCGGUGGCGAAGGCGGCAUCCUGGACCAACACUGACGCUGAGGAGCGAAAGCCAGGGGAGCAAACGGG
rnacentral:rRNA from 1 species